UAUCUCUGUAGAGUCUGCAUAUCAAUAAGCGGAGGAAAAGAAACUAACUAGGAUUCCCUCAGUAACGGCGAGUGAAGCGGGAAGAGCUCAAAUUUGAAAUCUUCAAGGUUCUACCUUGACGAAUUGUAGUUUAAAGAAGUGUUUUCUGUUGGAGUUUUGGUAAAAGUUCUUUGGAAUAGGACAUCAUAGAGGGUGAGAAUCCCGUAUUUGACCAUUAUUUCCAGCUUUGUGAUACACUUUCAAAGAGUCGGAUUGUUUGGGAAUGCAGUCCAAAAUGGGUGGUAAAUUUCAUCUAAAGCUAAAUACUGGCGAGAGACCGAUAGCGAACAAGUACCGUGAGGGAAAGAUGAAAAGAACUUUGAAAAGAGAGUUAAACAGUACGUGAAAUUGUCAAAAGAGAAGCGUUUGACACCAGUGUUGUUUUCUCGAAAAUCAAUUAAAAAUGGCCGGAUUUUGUGUUGUAUUGACCUUUAAUCAGCUUUCUUCACUCUUUUCUUGUCUUUUUUAAUGCACUUUUCGUUUAACAAGUCAACAUCAGUUUCUUUUGUUGUAAAAGGGUCAUGAGGAAGGUGGCUUUCUUUUCGGAGAAAGUGUUUAUAGCCUUGUGCCUCUGCAAUCGGAGAGAUUGAGGUCUGCAGCGUAGAUCCUUCGGGGUUAGAUACAUUUGUGCUAAGCUAUAGCCUUGUAUAGACAACUUGUUGACUAUGUUUAGUCUUGUAGCUUACUCGCUGACGCUAUUUUACCUACGCUUAGGAUGUUGAGUAGCGACAUACGCAC
rnacentral:rRNA from 1 species